rnacentral:lncRNA from 1 species
AUGCAGAAAACGUAUAUAUGUUUAUAUACCGACCGCAUAAUAUAUAAAUACAUAUACGCGUGCCCAAGCGCCUGGUUUUCGUCUCUCCUCCCUACGAAGCGGAAUGUUUUGGAGCCGAUGGAUAACAAGAACACGAUUAACAUUCUUUUGAGCUUGUUUUUUAAAAGGGGGAGGGAGCGUGAAGAAUUGUUUAACAUUCGGCCAUCGUUUGGCUGCACACUAAACACCACGAAGUAUUUAUGGUUGCAGAUCAGGUGCAAACGGGGCUUAGAGAGAAAGGAGCAGACCUGUGAAGCUUGAGGCCACUCAAGUUCCAAAUUUGUGACAAAUCCCCCAGGGCUCACUGGAGUGGCAGAUAUAGACCCGCAGCUAACUGGAUUUGAUUUAUAAGAGAGAAAACUACAGUCAAUGCCCACUCUUGCCACAUUGCUAAUAUGGAAAACAGAAUGUUGAAUAGGAUAUGGUCUGAUAAAGAGUGAUGAUUGAAGAUGCUGCUCCAAUACAUGUGAAAUCAAUGGGAGAUACCUGCUGUCUGAAGAUCUGUCAGAACUUUUCUCGACAAGCUCCCCUUUAAGAAAUCGGAGGUAUAUUCUACCAUUAUACAGUCUUUCUCAAGUGGAUAUAAAUACGUUUGCCUCACUGUAACCAGGCAAC